AGCUCUAGUGGCCUACUGGUUAGAGCGUUCGCAUCUGAUGCGGGAGGUCGUUGGUUCAAUCCCCGGCCGAGUCA